rnacentral:rRNA from 1 species
GACGAACGCUGGCGGCGUGCUUAACACAUGCAAGUCGAACGGAAAGGCCCUGCUUUUGUGGGGUGCUCGAGUGGCGAACGGGUGAGUAACACGUGAGUAACCUGCCCUUGACUUUGGGAUAACUUCAGGAAACUGGGGCUAAUACCGGAUAGGAGCUCCUGCUGCAUGGUGGGGGUUGGAAAGUUUCGGCGGUUGGGGAUGGACUCGCGGCUUAUCAGCUUGUUGGUGGGGUAGUGGCUUACCAAGGCUUUGACGGGUAGCCGGCCUGAGAGGGUGACCGGGAAUAGUGGGAGGGAGAACGGCCCUGGCCCGUGAAGGGGGCAAGGGGGUGGGCAUAUGGCCCAAGGGGCGGCGGGGUGAUGCAGGAGCGGAGGGUGGUCCAUGGGGGCCGGGCGUGUGUAAGCCGUUGUCGGGUGGGGAGAACGGUGAGGGAGGUAAAGAGGGAAAGAACCCCUGGAUAAGUGCGUGCGAGCAGGAGGGGUAAUGGAGCGGCAGCUAACAACAUG